CGUACAGCCGCCAUGGCGGUCACGUGGCCGGGGGGGAGGGUUUGGAGAUGCUGCAGCUGCUGGAGAAGCUCCCGGCGGGACGGGCCCCCGAGUUCCUUCAUAAAGUAGUUGAUGGCAUAUGUGGCCGUGCAUAUCCUCGAUACCAAGAUUAUGGCACCAUUUGGAGCUUGUCAGAGUGGAUGGAGGUUUUAGAAAAAACAAUGGCCUAUUUCAAAACUACAGUUGGCAAAAACAUAUCUGAUGAAGAGGCUGCUCAGCAGAUAAGUGAGUUAAAUUCAGACUACCAAGAAGCAAUCACAAAAUGUCUGAAGGGUAGAAAGGAAGAAAUCAGGAAUGCCCUAGUGGAAAGCGUAAAUGGAAUCUCUUCUGCCCAGCUGCAGGAUUUUGACUGGCAGUUAAAGCUUGCUCUCUCCAGUGACAAGAUCUCCAUGCUGCAAAUGCCACUCCUCAAUCUUGAUUUGGAUGUGAGAGAAAAUGGUGAAAUUAAGCCGAUUUCUAUAGAGAUGAACAAGGAAGAGUUGCAGAACCUAAUAAAUGCACUGGAAGCUGCUAAUAAGAAGGAAUCUCAAUAGACCUGGACAUUGCUAUUCUACUUUGUGACUACAGGCAGCUGAGGAAUGGAUUGCGUGCAGGAAAGGGUUGUCCUACAACUGAAAUGAUGGAAUUCAGAUCAUCAACGGUAUCUGCUGGUGAUGACUCCCCAGUUGAUUUUGGGGAAAAAAAUGUAUUCUCUGCAAAGCGAAAAGUUGUUGGUGCUGUAAAAUACUGAAGUGAGAAGGCUGUUAUGACUUAUGACCAAAUAAACUACUAAUCCUUUGAUAAAAGUAGUAAAAUCUUGUAUCUGUUUGAUCAAAAAUAUGAAAAUCCAAUAUACAGUUGCUUUUAGUACUGAAGAUUUAUAGACCUUUGGAAAAGAAUCACUUAUGACGUGUGCCAUAUUUGUUUUGGUUAAACUUAAACGGUGACCACUCAGGUGCCUGGUAAAACUAAGGCAUCUUACUUGCAUACUGUGUUACCUUAUCUGAAGUGCCAUGAUAAUAACAUGAGAGAGUAUUUGUAGCAUUAAUAUAUUGUAAAUAUGGUAAAUAAAGACCUGCUUUUGUGUGUGAAUAA